UAAUUUUUUAUGCAAAAGAUCUAGUUUGAGAGAACAAACUUGCUUGUGAAAGUGAACUCGGCGGCGGCGGCGGUAAAAUCCCUCCCGAUAGCCCCUCAGUUCUUAUAAUCUCUUACUCUGCUUUAAGAUCCAUUCACCUUUUAAAAGGCUUUCGUUCCAUUACUAAACAAUGCAGUGCUGUCAAGUUAUUCUCCAAGCAUAUCAAACUUGAAGAACAGGUUAGGUAUGUUUCUUAUGUGGCAUGAUGUUGUGUGGUCUGUGUUGUGUGGUCUAUCUGGACCUCCCGGAAUGAUAUUAUCUUUGCCGGGUGGGACUCCAACGAUUGAUAAUCUCGUUGAUAGGGUGAAAGUCUCAUCCUGAAAAUGGUUUCUAGGUAAAAACCUUGAUAGCCCCUGCUCUUUUCACGAGUGGGAGGUUCAACCUAUCUUGUGUUGGUCCAAUAAAGCAAGGUGAUGAUGCGGUGUCGGAAUGCUUCUGGUUCCUGUUGAGUUGUAUCUCUUGAGGUGUCCGCUCUUUGUUGGCUUUUCCCUUCCCCCUUUUUGAUGGCUGCUCCGAGUGGUUUUGGUGGUUUGUUGCUUUCCGGGAGUCCUUUCUGGUGUUCCUUUUGUAAAUUUUUAUUUUGUUUUUGAGUAUUUCUGGUACUCCUACACUAUACUCUGACUGUUUUAACCGUUAUA